AUCUUGAAAACGGAAAAUAAAAACAGCAGACCUAUGAAGGUCGAAGGGGAAGAAAAGCUGUAUCGAUUGUUGAGAUCUGGCGACUUGUUUAAAUUUCAUCAGCCUCACUUCUAUGAACUCUCAGGCCUCACGUGUACCAGCUCUCUGCUCUCCUUUGCCUUGGGACGUUCCAUCCCUGGAAGUUUCCCUGCCCACAUCUUUGUAGAGAGUCCAUUCUCCAAGCUUCAGUGUGUCAUCUGUGAGGACCGUGACCCACCUGGUACAUCGCCUCAGGGCAUUCAUUUCAGGCUCCUUCUAAAUGGCCAAGGAUCUUGGAAGCAGAGGGAUCUGCAGAAGUGCUUGCAACACUUUCAGCCUUAACCAGCAUCAGAGACAAAAAUCCUUUCUGGAAUGAGGCCAUGAGAGAAGCAGUACCUUAUAAUGGUUCCUUGUUCAAAGCACUCAAUAUUCCUAGGAUGUGGUCUCCCAGCUGACUUCAUAACUGAAUCAUCAGUAAUUAAUUUCAUUGUUCUAUUAGGACUUUACUGAAGACUCUAAGGAGGACCUGUAUCUGUUGGGAUCCUCAGGGCAAGCCACAGAAACAAGCUUUGGAUACUAGAAGCAGAAAAUGGAGAUAUUGAAGACUAUUGUGGAGUUUACUGUGAGCCAGAGAACCAGGCUGGGGGGCUGUAUCACUUAGAAUGAGAUCCAAACUCACACCAUAGUUCCAUCCUUGAGGUUGCCAUGUUGCUGCCACCCCUCCUGCCACCCCACCACUGAAGCUUUGGAUGCUGGAUUCUGGGCACAGCAGGGAGAAGUGUUGCUUAUUACCAUUUUAGUAUGUUUUCUUUCAAGACCUUUUCAAAAUAUACAUACGUAUUUUUAUUUCUAUUCAAAA
rnacentral:lncRNA from 1 species